rnacentral:rRNA from 1 species
GCUAGCGACAGGCCUAACACAUGCAAGUCGAGGGGCAGCAUUGAUUGCUUGCAAUCAGAUGGCGACCGGCGCACGGGUGAGCAACGCGUAUGCAACCUACCUUGUACAGCGGGACAGCCCAGGGAAACCUGGAUUAAUACCGCAUAGCAUUCUAGUUUCACAUGGAAUUAGGAUUAAAGCUCCGGCGGUACAAGAUGGGCAUGCGUAGCAUUAGCUAGUUGGUAAGGUAACGGCUUACCAAGGCGACGAUGCUUAGGGGUUCUGAGAGGACAGCCCCCACACUGGUACUGAGACACGGACCAGACUCCUACGGGAGGCAGCAGUGAGGAAUAUUGGUCAAUGGGCGCAAGCCUGAACCAGCCAUGUCGCGUGCAGGAUGACAGCCCUAUGGGUCGUAAACUGCUUUAUUGCGGGAAUAACCCCUUCCACUUGUGGAAGGCUGAAGGUACCGUAAGAACAAGGAUCGGCUAACUCCGUG